rnacentral:misc_RNA from 1 species
AAAGUCGUAACAAGGUUUCCGUAGGUGAACCUGCGGAAGGAUCAUUACCACAUCCAAAACUUUAUAUCAACCCACAAGUGUGAAGCUAUGAUGAGGAACUUUUUCUUCAUUUUUUUGAACCCCCUUUGAACUUUUUCCAAGUGAACUAAGCAAGACUAAAAAAACAAAAUGAGAAAAGAGAAAACAACUUUUAACGGUGGAUCUCUUGGCUCGU